CGGCGUGGAUUAGGCAUGCAAGUCGAGCGAUCCUUCGGGAUAGCGGCAAAAGGGUGAGUAACGCGUGGGUAAUCUACCCUUAAGUAGAGAAUAACCUUGUGAAAACAAGGCUAAUACUUUAUAUGACCACGAACACACAAGUGUACGAGGUAAAAGGUGGGGAUGACGUCAAGUCAGCAUGGUCCUUAUGUCCAGGGCUGCACACGUGCUACAAUGGGUGGUACAGAAGGAAGCAAUACCGCGAGGUGGAGCAAAUCCCCAAAAUCACCCCCAGUUCAGAUUGGAGUCUGAAAUUCGACUCCAUGAAGUUGGAAUCGCUAGUAAUGGCGCAUCAGCUACGGCGCCGUGAAUACGUUCCCGGGCCUUGUACACACCGCCCGUCACAUCAUGGAAGUUGGCUGCACCCGAAGUCGCUGAUCCAACCUGUUAAAGGGAGGAAGGUGCCGAAGGUGUGGCUGAUGACUGGGAUGAAGUCGUAACAAGGUAGCCGUA
rnacentral:rRNA from 1 species